UGGGGAAUUUUGGACAAUGGGCGAAANCCUGAUCCAGCAAUGCCGCGUGUGUGAAGAAGGCCUUCGGGUUGUAAAGCACUUUUGUCCGGAAAGAAAUCCUUGGCUCUAAUACAGUCGGGGGAUGACGGUACCGGAAGAAUAAGCACCGGCUAACUACGUGCCAGCAGCCGCGGUAAUACGUAGGGUGCAAGCGUUAAUCGGAAUUACUGGGCGUAAAGCGUGCGCAGGCGGUUUGCUAAGACCGAUGUGAAAUCCCCGGGCUCAACCUGGGAACUGCAUUGGUGACUGGCAGGCUAGAGUAUGGCAGAGGGGGGUAGAAUUCCACGUGUAGCAGUGAAAUGCGUAGAGAUGUGGAGGAAUACCGAUGGCGAAGGCAGCCCCCUGGGCCAAUACUGACGCUCAUGCACG
rnacentral:rRNA from 1 species